GUUCGCUGCCCUCGAUGUCGCGAGAAGUCCAUUGAACCUUAUCAUUUAGAGGAAGGAGAAGUCGUAACAAGGUUUCCGUAGGUGAACCUGCGGAAGGAUCAUU
rnacentral:rRNA from 1 species